UACGUAGGGGGGCAAGCGUUGUCCGGAAUCAUUGGGCGUAAAGAGCGUGUAGGCGGUUCGGUAAGUCGGCUGUGAAAGUCCAGGGCUCAACCCUGGGAUGCCGGUCGAUACUGCCCGGACUAGAGUUCGGAAGAGGCGAGUGGAAUUCUCGGUGUAGCGGUGAAAUGCGUAGAUAUCGAGAGGAACACCUGCGGCGAAGGCGGGUAGCUGGGCCGACACUGACGCUGAUGCGCGAAAGCCAGGGGAGCGAACGGG
rnacentral:rRNA from 1 species